rnacentral:rRNA from 1 species
GGGUUGUGAGGUUAAGCGACUAAGCGUACACGGUGGAUGCCCUGGCAGUCAGAGGCGAUGAAGGACGUGCUAAUCUGCGAUAAGCGUCGGUAAGGUGAUAUGAACCGUUAUAACCGGCGAUUUCCGAAUGGGGAAACCCAGUGUGUUUCGACACACUAUCAUUAACUGAAUCCAUAGGUUAAUGAGGCGAACCGGGGGAACUGAAACAUCUAAGUACCCCGAGGAAAAGAAAUCAACCGAGAUUCCCCCAGUAGCGGCGAGCGAACGGGGAGCAGCCCAGAGCCUGAAUCAGUGUGUGUGUUAGUGGAAGCGUCUGGAAAGGCGCGCGAUACAGGGUGACAGCCCCGUACACAAAAAUGCACAUGCUGUGAGCUCGAUGAGUAGGGCGGGACACGUGGUAUCCUGUCUGAAUAUGGGGGGACCAUCCUCCAAGGCUAAAUACUCCUGACUGACCGAUAGUGAACCAGUACCGUGAGGGAAAGGCGAAAAGAACCCCGGCGAGGGGAGUGAAAAAGAACCUGAAACCGUGUACGUACAAGCAGUGGGAGCACGCUUAGGCGUGUGACUGCGUACCUUUUGUAUAAUGGGUCAGCGACUUAUAUUCUGUAGCAAGGUUAACCGAAUAGGGGAGCCGAAGGGAAACCGAGUCUUAACUGGGCGUUAAGUUGCAGGGUAUAGACCCGAAACCCGGUGAUCUAGCCAUGGGCAGGUUGAAGGUUGGGUAACACUAACUGGAGGACCGAACCGACUAAUGUUGAAAAAUUAGCGGAUGACUUGUGGCUGGGGGUGAAAGGCCAAUCAAACCGGGAGAUAGCUGGUUCUCCCCGAAAGCUAUUUAGGUAGCGCCUCGUGAAUUCAUCUCCGGGGGUAGAGCACUGUUUCGGCAAGGGGGUCAUCCCGACUUACCAACCCGAUGCAAACUGCGAAUACCGGAGAAUGUUAUCACGGGAGACACACGGCGGGUGCUAACGUCCGUCGUGAAGAGGGAAACAACCCAGACCGCCAGCUAAGGUCCCAAAGUCAUGGUUAAGUGGGAAACGAUGUGGGAAGGCCCAGACAGCCAGGAUGUUGGCUUAGAAGCAGCCAUCAUUUAAAGAAAGCGUAAUAGCUCACUGGUCGAGUCGGCCUGCGCGGAAGAUGUAACGGGGCUAAACCAUGCACCGAAGCUGCGGCAGCGACGCUGAUGCGUUGUUGGGUAGGGGAGCGUUCUGUAAGCCUGCGAAGGUGUGCUGUGAGGCAUGCUGGAGGUAUCAGAAGUGCGAAUGCUGACAUAAGUAACGAUAAAGCGGGUGAAAAGCCCGCUCGCCGGAAGACCAAGGGUUCCUGUCCAACGUUAAUCGGGGCAGGGUGAGUCGACCCCUAAGGCGAGGCCGAAAGGCGUAGUCGAUGGGAAACAGGUUAAUAUUCCUGUACUUGGUGUUACUGCGAAGGGGGGACGGAGAAGGCUAUGUUGGCCGGGCGACGGUUGUCCCGGUUUAAGCGUGUAGGCUGGUUUUCCAGGCAAAUCCGGAAAAUCAAGGCUGAGGCGUGAUGACGAGGCACUACGGUGCUGAAGCAACAAAUGCCCUGCUUCCAGGAAAAGCCUCUAAGCAUCAGGUAACAUCAAAUCGUACCCCAAACCGACACAGGUGGUCAGGUAGAGAAUACCAAGGCGCUUGAGAGAACUCGGGUGAAGGAACUAGGCAAAAUGGUGCCGUAACUUCGGGAGAAGGCACGCUGAUAUGUAGGUGAGGUCCCUCGCGGAUGGAGCUGAAAUCAGUCGAAGAUACCAGCUGGCUGCAACUGUUUAUUAAAAACACAGCACUGUGCAAACACGAAAGUGGACGUAUACGGUGUGACGCCUGCCCGGUGCCGGAAGGUUAAUUGAUGGGGUUAGCGCAAGCGAAGCUCUUGAUCGAAGCCCCGGUAAACGGCGGCCGUAACUAUAACGGUCCUAAGGUAGCGAAAUUCCUUGUCGGGUAAGUUCCGACCUGCACGAAUGGCGUAAUGAUGGCCAGGCUGUCUCCACCCGAGACUCAGUGAAAUUGAACUCGCUGUGAAGAUGCAGUGUACCCGCGGCAAGACGGAAAGACCCCGUGAACCUUUACUAUAGCUUGACACUGAACAUUGAGCCUUGAUGUGUAGGAUAGGUGGGAGGCUUUGAAGUGUGGACGCCAGUCUGCAUGGAGCCGACCUUGAAAUACCACCCUUUAAUGUUUGAUGUUCUAACGUUGACCCGUAAUCCGGGUUGCGGACAGUGUCUGGUGGGUAGUUUGACUGGGGCGGUCUCCUCCUAAAGAGUAACGGAGGAGCACGAAGGUUGGCUAAUCCUGGUCGGACAUCAGGAGGUUAGUGCAAUGGCAUAAGCCAGCUUGACUGCGAGCGUGACGGCGCGAGCAGGUGCGAAAGCAGGUCAUAGUGAUCCGGUGGUUCUGAAUGGAAGGGCCAUCGCUCAACGGAUAAAAGGUACUCCGGGGAUAACAGGCUGAUACCGCCCAAGAGUUCAUAUCGACGGCGGUGUUUGGCACCUCGAUGUCGGCUCAUCACAUCCUGGGGCUGAAGUAGGUCCCAAGGGUAUGGCUGUUCGCCAUUUAAAGUGGUACGCGAGCUGGGUUUAGAACGUCGUGAGACAGUUCGGUCCCUAUCUGCCGUGGGCGCUGGAGAACUGAGGGGGGCUGCUCCUAGUACGAGAGGACCGGAGUGGACGCAUCACUGGUGUUCGGGUUGUCAUGCCAAUGGCACUGCCCGGUAGCUAAAUGCGGAAGAGAUAAGUGCUGAAAGCAUCUAAGCACGAAACUUGCCCCGAGAUGAGUUCUCCCUGACUCCUUGAGGGUCCUGAAGGAACGUUGAAGACGACGACGUUGAUAGGCCGGGUGUGUAAGCGCAGCGAUGCGUUGAGCUAACCGGUACUAAUGAACCGUGAGGCUUAACCUUACAACGCCGAAGGUGUUU